UCGGCACUGGGAGGUAGCCAGCAGUCUGACAGCAUCAUGGCCAGCACGCUGGGCGGCGUUCCAAGUCCUCCCAGUUUCUUCACUAAGGUCCUGAACCAGACUGCCAUGCAGGUGUACUGGGAGCUGCCCAGCAAGCCGGGGAAGCUGGAGGGCUUUAGACUGGAGUACCGCAGUGUUUCCAACCCAGAAGUGCAGGGGCAGGAAACCUUCCCAGCACACAUCAAUACCCACACCAUCUCCCACCUGGAGCCGGCGGCCAUUUAUGAAAUCCAGCUGGUGGCGUUUAACGGGAACGGAGACAGUCCGUCCAACCGCCGCCUCGUAUCUCUGGCAGACGGAGAGAGAGCUGCAGCAGCUGGUUCAAGCUGUAACUGCGAUCAGUCUGACGGCUCGACAUCCGCUCUGCUGGUCGGCCUUCACAGUGGCCUCGCCUGCAUCCUCUGCUGCCUGCUGCUCGUCCUGCUGGCAUACAGACGCAAGUAAGGCCUUCACUAUCAUCGUCUUCAUCGUCCUCACAGCCACCACAACCAUCAUCGUCCUCAUCGUCCUCACAACCACCACCGCCAUCAUCGUCUUCAUCAUCCUCACAACCAUCACCGCCGUCAUCGUCUUCAUUGUCCUCACAACCACCAGCGCCGUCAUCGUCUUCACAACCACCACCGCCGUCAUCGUCUUCAUCAGACAGUUUUUUCUGCAGGAGGGGGGAGAGCUGGGAGACUCCACCCACUCUGAAUGGCGUCAGUGGUCCUAAAGGUCACACACCGGAGAGCUUCGAGCUCAGCCAGACAUGUGAUUCCACCCUUCCUCCAGUGAUGGUCAUGGUUGAACCUGCUCUACCUGUUCACCUGGACACAGGCACCAGAUAAAACACCACACAUUACCCGAAUACCCCCACCCCCCC
ensembl:lncRNA